rnacentral:misc_RNA from 1 species
GAUGAAGAACGUAGCGAAAUGCGAUACUUGGUGUGAACUGCAGAAUCCCGUGAACCAUCGAGUCUUUGAACGCAAGUUGCGCCCGAAGCCAUCAGGUUGAGGGCACGUCUGCCUGGGCGUCACAUAUCGUUGCCCAAUGCCUAUUGCAGUGCAAUAGGAAUUUCUAGGGCGAAUGAUGGCUUCCCGUGAGCGUUGUUGCCUCGCGGUUGGUUGAAAAUCGAGUCCUUGGUAGGGUGUGCCAUGGUAGAUGGUGGUCGAGUUAGAACGAUACCGAUCAUGUGCAUGCUCCCCAAAAUAUGGCCUCUAUGACCCACACGCGUCUUUUGACGCUCAUGACGAGACCUCAGGUCAGGCGGGGCUACCCGCUGAAUUUAAGCAUAUCAAUAAGCGGAGGA